AUACGUGUUGAAUCAUCCUGCUUGCCUGUUUGAGAAAGAAGGCCCUUUGCAACAGAGAGUGGAACUUUCGCCAACCCACAAUCUGGAGGCUUUGAGGUCAUUUGAAGGACACAUCAUUUCCUGCAACCCAUGAAAUGAUGUACAACUGUUGUGAUCUGUGAAUACUUGUUGAAUCAUCCUGCUUGCCUGUUUGAGAAAGAAGGCCCUUUGCAACAGAGAGUGGAACUUUCGCCAACCCACAAUCUGGAGGCUUUGAGGUCAUUUGAAGGACACAUCAUUUCCCGCAACCCAUGAAAUGAUGUACAACUGUUGUGAUCUGUGAAUACUUGUUGAAUCAUCCUGCUUGCCUGUUUGAGAAAGAAGGCCCUUUGCAACAGAGAGUGGAACUUUCGCCAACCCACAAUCUGGAGGCUUUGAGGUCAUUUGAAGGACACAUCAUUUCCCGCAGUAAGAAUUCUUUUCUGGGACGAAUGCAGUUUAAGUUUUAUAUACAUUCAUAAAAAGAGUAUUGUUUUUCAUGUUAAGUGUAAUGAGUGUAAAUAUUUCAGACCCAUGAAAUGAUGAACAACUGUUGUGAUCUGUGAAUACUUGUUGAAUCAUCCUGCUUGCCUGUUUGAGAAAGAAGGCCCUUUGCAACAGAGCGUGGAACUUUCGCCAACCCACAAUCUGGAGGCUUUGAGGUCAUUUGAAGGACACAUCAUUUCCCGCAACCCAUGAAAUGAUGUACAACUGUUGUGAUCUGAGAAUACUUGUUGAAUCAUCCUGCUUGCCUGUUUGAGAAAGAAGGCCCUUUGCAACAGAGAGUGGAACUUUCGCCAACCCACAAUCUGGAGGCUUUGAGGUCAUUUGAAGGACACAUCAUUUCCUGCAACCCAUGAAAUGAUGUACAACUGUUGUGAUCUGUGAAUACUUGUUGAAUCAUCCUGCUUGCCUGUUUGAGAAAGAAGGCCCUUUGCAACAGAGAGUGGAACUUUCGCCAACCCACAAUCUGGAGGCUUUGAGGUCAUUUGAAGGACACAUCAUUUCCCGCAACCCAUGAAAUGAUGUACAACUGUUGUGAUCUGUGAAUACUUGUUGAAUCAUCCUGCUUGCCUGUUUGAGAAAGAAGGCCCUUUGCAACAGAGAGUGGAACUUUCGCCAACCCACAAUCUGGAGGCUUUGAGGUCAUUUGAAGGACACAUCAUUUCCCGCAACCCAUGAAAUGAUGUACAACUGUUGUGAUAUGUGAAUACUUGUUGAAU